rnacentral:lncRNA from 1 species
AUUACUCCUGCCUACUGCGGUGCACCUUUUAGCGAAGAAGCCAGUGCCACUGGGAUCCUGGACAGUUCUGGUGUGCCAUUCUCCACGUACAAAGCCAACGGCCCCAUUUGCGACUUUGCUAACUUAGUUGGCUUCCGCCCAGCCGAACCCCGAAGCACAGUCACUGAAAACGUUUUGAUACCAGAAAAUCAUUUCCACGACAGUGCAAGUGUUCGAAAGCACAAAGGCAGACUGUCUACCCGCGACAGUUCGCAAGUUGCGGUGGCGGGGCGGCUGUGCGGAGCGCGCGUGCAGGGUCUCACUGUCAAAAUAAGUUCUACCACUUUUUAAACGCAGAAAAAACCAAGAUAGGAUAUUUUGAAUUGAAACUAGCAGCUCAGCUGAAAAAGGUUUGCACUACGACGGUUGUGGAAGAGAAAACGAGAUGUUCUUGGAGGGGAGCAGCAGCCUCCCUUCUAAUGUUAGCAUGGGAAAGCACAUUUGGUUGCAUCACAGUCACUGAACCCUCAGAGUGCAAGUUGCCACAGAACAGCACGGUUUUGUCCAGGGUAGCCCUGUGGUACAUUCUUGGCGGUGAUUUGACAAGAUCUGGACAUUAGCUGCUGAGAUGAAAUGUGAAAUUGCAGAGCCCUCCACUGAAGCAGUCAGACACUCAGAUCAAAUUUUAAAAUCCCAUUGCACUUUCCAUCAGGAAGAAGAGAGAUGCCUCAGUGCUUGGGCUCAACCUGGGUGUGCAUAGAUACCACUAGCUGUGGUGAGGCUGCCACAGUUUCCCCUACCUGGUCACUAAACAACAGCAUUUCCAUCAUUGCUCCAGCGGAAUCCACCUGUGACUACCAUGAGAGGCCCUGCUGCAUGGGAAGGCUAAUUAUAUUGUUUUAUUUUAUCCCUGGGUCAGUUUUUUUUGUGGGAAAAUCACCUGGUUAUUAUCAGCCAACCUGAAACCCCCUAUAAUGCUGCGGAAUGUGCACAUUUUCCUGGAGUUGAAUAGAAGUAUUAAUGAGCUCUAACAAAAUGGGUUUGUGAUUCCUGGAGUUUGGCCCCAGCCACCACCUGUUUAUAAUUAG